UACGUAGGGACCAAGCGUUGUUCGGAUUUACUGGGCGUAAAUGGCGCGUAGGCGGCGUGGUAAGUCACUUGUGAAAUCUCUGAGCUUAACUCAGAACGGCCAAGUGAUACUGCUGUGCUAGAGUGCAGAAGGGGCAAUCGGAAUUCUUGGUGUAGCGGUGAAAUGCGUAGAUAUCAAGAGGAACACCUGAGGUGAAGACGGGUUGCUGGGCUGACACUGACGCUGAUGCGCGAAAGCUAGGGGAGCAAACGGG
rnacentral:rRNA from 1 species